rnacentral:rRNA from 1 species
AUGAACGCUGGCGGCGUGCCUAAUACAUGCAAGUCGAGCGAACAGACGAGGAGCUUGCUCCUCUGACGUUAGCGGCGGACGGGUGAGUAACACGUGGAUAACCUACCUAUAAGACUGGGAUAACUUCGGGAAACCGGAGCUAAUACCGGAUAAUAUAUUGAACCGCAUGGUUCAAUAGUGAAAGACGGUUUUGCUGUCACUUAUAGAUGGAUCCGCGCCGCAUUAGCUAGUUGGUAAGGUAACGGCUUACCAAGGCAACGAUGCGUAGCCGACCUGAGAGGGUGAGCGGCCACACUGGAACUGUGACACGGUCCAGACUCCUACGGGAGGCAGCAGUAGGGAAUCGUCCGCAAUGGGCGAAAGACUGACGGAGCAACGCCGCGGGAGUGAUGAAGGUCUUCGGAUCGUAAAACUCGGUUAUUAGGGAAUAACAAAUGUGUAAGUAACUAGGCACGUCUUGACGGUACCUAAGUAGAAAGCCACGGCUAACUACGUG